AUUGAACGCUGGCGGCAUGCCUUACACAUGCAAGUCGAACGGCAGCGGGGGAGAAGCUUGCUUUUCCUGCCGGCGAGUGGCGAACGGGUGAGUAAUACAUCGGAACGUGCCCUGUAGUGGGGGAUAACUAGUCGAAAGAUUAGCUAAUACCGCAUACGACCUGAGGGUGAAAGUGGGGGACCGCAAGGCCUCAUGCUAUAGGAGCGGCCGAUGUCUGAUUAGCUAGUUGGUGGGGUAAAGGCCUACCAAGGCGACGAUCAGUAGCGGGUCUGCGAGGACGAUCAGCCACACUGGGACUGGGACACGGCCCAGACUCCUACGGGAGGCAGCAGUGGGGAAUUUUGGACAAUGGGCGAAAGCCUGAUCCAGCAAUGCCGCGUGUGUGAAGAAGGCCUUCGGGUUGUAAAGCACUUUUGUCCGGAAAGAAAUGGCUCUGGUUAAUACCUGGGGUCGAUGACGGUACCGGAAGAAUAAGGACCGGCUAACUACGUGCCAGCCGCCGCCGUAA
rnacentral:rRNA from 1 species